rnacentral:rRNA from 1 species
AGCAGUGGGGAAUAUUGCACAAUGGGCGCAAGCCUGAUGCAGUCCAUGCCGCGUGUGUGAAGAAGGCCUUCGGGUUGUAAAGCACUUUCAGUUGUGAGGAAUGUGGUGUCGUUAAUAGCGGCAUCAUUUGACGUUAGCAACAGAAGAAGCACCGGCUAACUCCGUGCCAGCAGCCGCGGUAAUACGGAGGGUGCGAGCGUUAAUCGGAAUUACUGGGCGUAAAGCGCAUGCAGGUGGUUUGUUAAGUCAGAUGUGAAAAGCCCGGGGCUCAACCUCGGAACUGCAUUUGAAACUGGCAGACUAGAGUACUGUAGAGGGGGUAGAAUUUCAGGUGUAGCGGUGAAAUGCGUAGAGAUCUGAAGGAAUACCGGUGGCGAAGGCGGCCCCCUGGACAGAUACUGACACUCAGAUGCGAAAGCGUGGGGAGCAAACAGGAUUAGAUACCCUGUAG